AGUGAACGCUGGCGGUAGGCCUAACACAUGCAAGUCGAACGGCAGCACAGUAAGAGCUUGCUCUUACGGGUGGCGAGUGGCGGACGGGUGAGGAAUACAUCGGAAUCUACUUUUUCGUGGGGGAUAACGUAGGAAAACUUACGCUAAUACCGCAUACGACCUACGGGUGAAAGCAGGGGAUCUUCGGACCUUGCGCGAUUGAAUGAGCCGAUGUCGGAUUAGCUAGUUGGCGGGGUAAAGGCCCACCAAGGCGACGAUCCGUAGCUGGUCUGAGAGGAUGAUCAGCCACACUGGAACUGAGACACGGUCCAGACUCCUACGGGAGGCAGCAGUGGGGAAUAUUGGACAAUGGGCGCAAGCCUGAUCCAGCCAUACCGCGUGGGUGAAGAAGGCCUUCGGGCUGUAAAGCCCUUUUGUUGGGAAAGAAAAGCAGCAGGUUAAUACCCCGCUGUUCUGACGGUACCCAAAGAAUAAGCACCGGCUAACUUCGUG
rnacentral:rRNA from 1 species